rnacentral:siRNA from 1 species
GCCCAUUGGACAGCCCAUUUGGA